GACGAACGCUGGCGGCGUGCUUAACACAUGCAAGUCGAACGAAGUGGCGAACGGGUGAGUAAUGCGUAAUCAACCUGCCCUUCAGAGGGGGACAACAGUUGGAAACGACUGCUAUUACCCCACACUGAUGGACGGGUUUGCGUCUGAGUAGCUAGUUGGAGGGGUAACGGCCCACCAAGGCGAUGAUCAGUAGCCGGUCUGAGAGGAUGAACGGCCACAUUGGGACUGAGACACGGCCCAGACUCCUACGGGAGGCAGCAGUGGGGAAUCUUCCGCAAUGGACGAAAGUCUGACGGAGCAACGCCGCGUGAGUGAUGACGGCCUUCGGGUUGUAAAGCUCUGUUAAUCGGGACGCGGUACCGGAAUAGAAAGCCACGGCUAACUACGUGCCAGCAGCCGCGGUAAUUC
rnacentral:rRNA from 1 species